AUGCCUGAUAUUGCAGCUCUGUCCAGGAGUACGUUCUUCCUCUGGGCCACCGGGCCAGAGUGGCCAUCCUCACUGUCAGGAAGUUCAUCCUCGUUUCCCAGCUUUGUUUCUCAAGUGUGCCCACUCGUUCCUCUUCUGGGGAGCAGCGGGCAGGAUGCAUUCUGCCCCCGUGAAAAACAGUUCCCUUCUUGUCUUUUCCAAAGCUUACAGCCUUGGAGCACGAGAAAGAACAUCUUCCUCCAGCAAGUGACAAAGGAGGACACACCCAGGCCCCAGGAUGCAAUCAGCUACUUCAGAGAGGCUCUUUGGGGGCCCCCCAGCUCUGCACAGACCCCUGGACAUCUCUGUCUCUUCCCAAUGGAUCCAGAUCCCUUCAUCCAGGAAAACCACACCCUGGAUGUUUGUGGCUGCCCUGAAAUUGGAUGUUGUGAGGGUCUGACGCUUCGAAGCAGCACAGGUGAGCUUCCUUUUUGUUCUUCAUCCACAACCCAUGAGACACGUAGAUCACGAAAAUCAAAGAUCUCUCCCACCUCAGAUCGUAUCUGUCGUUUGAUGCACGUUCCUGCAAAGGCCCUUUCCAGACACUCCUCAAUAGUUUCUGCAAAUGCUGCCCGAAGCCCGCUGGUGAGCAGACACCACAUAUCCACCUUCCUCUCAGCCUCACACCCAGUGCCACGCCGCUUCCACCCUCUCCACGUCCCCGCGGCGAGGACCUGCAGAGGACCUGUUUGCCUCGUACACAGCAAGGCCGAUGCUUGUGUGUGGGCGUGCACACACGUCCCCAAGAGGACAGGCGCAGCGUCAUGUGGAGACGGGAACAAGGAUCCCGUCCAGCUGGAGGGCUGAGCUCAUUUGACCUUGGAGUGCCCAGUGUGGAGAGAGAGGUGGGGGAGGAGAAACAGUCGAGAAGUGCUGUCAGAUUGCAGCCUCUUCUGUGCAGCUUUUAGAACAAAGCGUGCGAGAGAAGAAGGAGCUUUUGAUUUGGAAUUUUCUAUGAGGUCAGGGGCCUGUGAGGAAGACACACCCGGGAGAAGCUGGUCUCAGUAGGGGAAGGAAGAAAGCCUCAGGUCCUUGGAUUUGACCUUCCCAGGGCAACUAAGGGUCAGAACAAUUUGCUGAUGCAAAGGAAGUUAUGUGUGCGUGGGUCUGUGUGUGUAAAAAAAAAAGGUGGGGGGAGGGACAGGCAGGGAGGAGAAAGGACAGAGGAAGAGGCGGGAGGCCUCCGUUUGAAAGGGGUCUGCCCGGAAGCCCAGAGCAAGGGACAUGCCUGAGGAAUGGAUAACUUAAGAGAGGGGAACAGGAGUCCGGUCUGAGGAGUGAGCAGGGAGAAGAAGGAAUCCAGCAGACACGUGAGGGAGAGGCAGGAGCAGCCCUGAGCCAGGCCUGCUGUGGGGCUGGGCUGGCCUGGCUGUGAGCACAGCCGGGCUUGGGGGAGGCCGCCCAGCUCAUCUGUUACUUACGAACACAAGCUCAGCCUCAAACCUGAUUAGCAGGAAUUAGGUGGCAUAUGGCUAAUCCUCCCUGCCACAGUUAUUAAUACUUUUCAGACUCUGCAGAGGGAGUCCGGAGGCUUCUCCCUGGCUGGCAUCUGGGUGCAGGCAGGACAAGGCUCGGCACCUGCUGUGGGAGGGGCUCUAGCCCCGAGGAGAACAAGGGGGUGGUGGAGAGGCAGAAGUGGCUGGAAAGCUUUCUUUGAGGCCUUGAAGAGACUCCUAAUCCUUCACAAGUGUCUGCCACAGGCUUUUCUUUCUUCCAAAAUACCCCUGGAUCUCUCAUUCCAUUUAGAAAACUGGUGAGAGAGGGGAAUAUACGAUAUCCGAAAGAAGUGAAAGGGUUUAACCAAGGA
rnacentral:lncRNA from 1 species